GCCUAUGGCCUUAGCACCCUGACCACACCCAAUCUCAUCUGAUCUCGGAAGCUAAGCAGGGCCAGGCCUGGUUAGUACUUGGAUGGGAGAAUUCCCAAAACAGAUCCACAUAUACA
rnacentral:rRNA from 1 species